rnacentral:lncRNA from 1 species
ACCUCUCUGGGUUUUGGUUUUCUCAUGGGACCACAGACAACGUAGAUAACCUUGUUGAAAGCAGGCAGCCAGGUGUCACCAUCCCUUGGAGGGAGCGCAAUUGGAGGAGGGGAUGUCACCUCCUCUGAUUUAGGUCUUGGCUCUAGCUCAGAGCCUGCUGCAGUAUCUGCAGGCUGAGUCCAGCCUCCAAGGACACAGGCAGCUGGGCCUGCCCCAGACAGGAUCUGGAGAAAGCUCUCCCCUCAGUUCAUCAAGUGAUAGAAAGAACAGUAGGGACCUAGGAAGGAGGACUAAUGGGAGGGGGAAAGGGCCUCAUUUUUGAAACACACACACACACAUCAUCAUCAUCAUCAUCAUCAUCAUCAUCAUCAUCAUCAUCUCAUUCAACUUUCCAAAUACUGAGAUAAGUGUAUUACUUUGCUAGGUCUACCAAAACAAAAACAGGUGGUUUAAACAAUACAAAUUUAUUUUCUCACCAUUCUAGAGGUUAUGAGCCCAGAUCCAGGGGUCGGCAGGGUUGGCUUCUUUUGAGGCCUCUCUACUUGACUUGUAGGUGGCCGUCUUCUCCCUCUGUCUUCCCAUGAUUUUUCCUCUGUGUGUGUCCAUGUCCAUACUUUUACUUCUUUUAAGAAUACCAGGCACAUGGGAUUACGGCCCCAUAUAUAUGACUUCAUUUUACCUUAAUUAUUUCUUCAAGACUCUUACCUCCAAAUACAGUUAUAUUUCUCAGGCACUUGGGCUUAGGAUUUCAACAUACUUAUGAAUUUUGGCCAUAUUCAUCCUAUAACAAUAAGUAAAGCACACGUUGUCCUCAUUUUACGGCU